UACGAAGGGGGCUAGCGUUGCUCGGAAUCACUGGGCGUAAAGGGUGCGUAGGCGGGUCUUUUAAGUCAGGGGUGAAAUCCUGGAGCUCAACUCCAGAACUGCCUUUGAUACUGAAGAUCUUGAGUUCGGGAGAGGUGAGUGGAACUGCGAGUGUAGAGGUGAAAUUCGUAGAUAUUCGCAAGAACACCAGUGGCGAAGGCGGCUCACUGGCCCGAGUACUGACGCUGAGGCACGAAAGCGUGGG
rnacentral:rRNA from 1 species